rnacentral:rRNA from 8 species
AUGCCGCGGUGAAUACGUUCCCGGGCCUUGUACACACCGCCCGUCACACCACGAGAGCUUGCAACACCCGAAGUCGGUGAGGUAACCCUUACGGGAGCCAGCCGCCGAAGGUGGGGCAAGUGAUUGGGGUGAAGUCGUAACAAGGUAGCCGUACCGGAAGGUGCGGCUGGAUCACCUCCUUUCU